CCCUUAGAUGUUCUGGGCUGCACGCGCGCUACACUGCUGCAAUUAACGGGUUUUCUGUGCUGAAAGGCUUGGGGAAUCCUUUGAAUAUGCGGCGUGAUGGGGAUAGAAUAUUGUAAUUAUUACUCUUCAACGAGGAAUUCCUAGUAAGCGCGGGUCAGCAGCCCGCGCUGAUUACGUCCCUGCCCUUUGUACACACCGCCCGUCGCUACUACCGAUUGAAUGAUUUAGUGAGGACUUCGGACUGGGACCGAUGCGGCUUUCGGGCUGCGUCGGUAUUCUGGAAAGAUGUCCAAACUGUAUCAUUUAGAGGAAGUAAAAGUCGUAACA
rnacentral:rRNA from 1 species